rnacentral:rRNA from 1 species
GACGAACGCUGGCGGCGUGCCUAAUACAUGCGAGUCGAGCGAAGUUUUUCUGGUGCUUGCACUAGAAAAACUUAGCGGCGAACGGGUGAGUAACACGUAAAGAACCUGCCUCAUAGACUGGGACAACUAUUGGAAACGAUAGCUAAUACCGGAUAACAGUAUUUCUCGCAUGAGAGAUAUUUAAAAGUUGGUUAUGCUAACACUAUGAGAUGGCUUUGCGGUGCAUUAGCUAGUUGGUGGGGUAAAGGCCCACCAAGGCGACGAUGCAUAGCCGACCUGAGAGGGUGAUCGGCGACACUGGGACUGAGACACGGCCCAGACUCCUACGGGAGGCAGCAGUAGGGAAUCUUCCGCAAUGGGCGAAAGCCUGACGGAGCAACGCCGCGUGAGUGAAGAAGGAUUUCGGUUCGUAAAGCUCUGUUGUUAGGGAAGAAUGGAUAUGUAGUAACUAUACAUGUAAGAGACGGUACCUAACCAGAAAGCCACGGCUAACUACGUG